UACACAACUCUUAACGGUGGAUCACUCGGCUCGUGGGUCGAUGAAGACCGCAGCAAGCUGCG
rnacentral:rRNA from 1 species